GAGGGGUGUGCAUGUUCCAGACACUGCCUCCAAAGCUUCAACAAAGGCCUUCCAGGGAGGCCCAGGGGAUCACCUUGAGCAGGAGGGACCUUCACUUGUUUGUGCAACCUGGUUAUUAAUGCUACUUCUGGGUAGUCCAGAGAAUCGAGUGUUGCAUUGAUCCAGCUCUAACAAAUGCCUGCCACACACAUGUAUUAGAUGGGCCGUACAUUAACUGUGCACACAGCCUUUGU